AGCGAACGCUGGCGGCAGGCCUAACACAUGCAAGUCGAGCGCUGUAGCAAUACGGAGCGGCAGACGGGAGAGUAACACGUGGGAACGUGCCCUUUGGUUCGGAAUAACUCAGGGAAACUUGAGCUAAUACCGGAUAAGCCCUUACGGGGAAAGAUUUAUUGCCAUUGGAGCGGCCCGCGUCGGAUUAGCUAGUUGGUGAGGUAAUGGCUCACCAAGGCGACGGUCCGUAGCUGGUCUGAGAGGAUGACCAGCCUCACUGGGACUGAGACACGGCCCAGACUCCUACGGGAGGCAGCAGUGGGGAAUAUUGGACAAUGGGCGCAAGCCUGAUCCAGCCAUGCCGCGUGGAUGAUGAAGGCCCUAGGGUUGUAAGGUCCUUUUAACGGGGAAGAUAAUGACGGUACCCGUAGAAUAAGCCCCGGCUAACUUCGUGCCAGCCGCCGCAGUAAAAC
rnacentral:rRNA from 1 species